rnacentral:piRNA from 1 species
UGGGUUGAGCGUUACCACUGAUACCAGAGC